GGACGAGAAGCUUGCUUCUCUGAUGUUAGCGGCGGACGGGUGAGUAACACGUGGAUAACCUACCUAUAAGACUGGGAUAACUUCGGGAAACCGGAGCUAAUACCGGAUAAUAUUUUGAACCGCAUGGUUCAAAAGUGAAAGACGGUCUUGCUGUCACUUAUAGAUGGAUCCGCGCUGCAUUAGCUAGUUGGUAAGGUAACGGCUUACCAAGGCAACGAUGCAUAGCCGACCUGAGAGGGUGAUCGGCCACACUGGAACUGAGACACGGUCCAGACUCCUACGGGAGGCAGCAGUAGGGAAUCUUCCGCAAUGGGCGAAAGCCUGACGGAGCAACGCCGCGUGAGUGAUGAAGGUCUUCGGAUCGUAAAACUCUGUUAUUAGGGAAGAACAUAUGUGUAAGUAACUGUGCACAUCUUGACGGUACCUAAUCAGAAAGCCACGGCUAACUACGUGCCAGCAGCCGCGGUAAUACGUAGGUGGCAAGCGUUAUCCGGAAUUAUUGGGCGUAAAGCGCGCGUAGGCGGUUUUUUAAGUCUGAUGUGAAAGCCCACGGCUCAACCGUGGAGGGUCAUUGGAAACUGGAAAACUUGAGUGCAGAAGAGGAAAGUGGAAUUCCAUGUGUAGCGGUGAAAUGCGCAGAGAUAUGGAGGAACACCAGUGGCGAAGGC
rnacentral:rRNA from 1 species